AGUGAACGCUGGCGGUAGGCCUAACACAUGCAAGUCGAACGGCAGCACAGUAAGAGCUUGCUCUUACGGGUGGCGAGUGGCGGACGGGUGAGGAAUACAUCGGAAUCUACUUUUUCGUGGGGGAUAACGUAGGGAAACUUACGCUAAUACCGCAUACGACCUACGGGUGAAAGCAGGGGAUCUUCGGACCUUGCGCGAUUGAAUGAGCCGAUGUCGGAUUAGCUAGUUGGCGGGUUAAAGGCCCACCAAGGCGACGAUCCGUAGCUGGUCUGAGAGGAUGAUCAGCCACACUGGAACGGAGACACGGUCCAGACUCCUACGGGAGGCAGCAGUGGGGAAUAUUGGACAAUGGGCGCAAGCCUGAUCCAGCCAUACCGCGUGGGUGAAGAAGGCCUUCGGGUUGUAAAGCCCUUUUGUUGGGAAAGAAAAGCAGCAGGUUAAUACCCCGCUGUUCUGACGGUACCCAAAGAAUAAGCACCGGCUAACUUCGUG
rnacentral:rRNA from 1 species